GAUGAACGCUGGCGGCGUGCCUAAUACAUGCAAGUCGAGCGAACAGACGAGGAGCUUGCUCCUCUGACGUUAGCGGCGGACGGGUGAGUAACACGUGUAUAACCUACCUAUAAGACUGGGAUAACUUCGUGAAACCGGAGCUAAUACCGGAUAAUAUAUUCAACCGCAUGGUUCAAUAGUGAAAGACGGUUUUGCUUUCACUUAUAGAUGGAUCCGCGCCGCAUUAGCUAGUUGGUAAGGUAACGGCUUACCAAGGCAACGAUCCGUAGCCGACCUGAGAGGGUGAACCGCCCCACUGGAACUUAGACACGGGCCAAACUCCCACGGGGGGGAGCAGUGGGGAAUAUUGCAGAAUGGGGGCAAGGCUUAGGGGGCCAACGCGGGGGUAGGAAGAAGGGCUUUGGGUUGGAAAAACCUUUCUGUUGGGGAAAAAAAAAUGUGGUAAAUACUUUGCCCCAUUGAAGUGACCCUAAGAAGAAGCCCCGGCUAAACCCGGG
rnacentral:rRNA from 1 species